rnacentral:rRNA from 1 species
CCUACGGGUGGCAGCAGUGAGGAAUAUUGGUCAAUGGACGAGAGCCUGAACCAGCCAAGCAGCGUGAGGGAUGACUGUCCUAUGGGUUGUAAACCUCUUUUAUAUGGGAGUAAAAUGCUCCACGUGUGGCAUUCCGUAAGUACCAGCUGAAUAAGGAUCGGCUAACUCCGUGACAGCAGCCGCGGUAAUACGGAGGGUCCGAGCGUUAUCCGGAUUUAUUGGGGUUAAAGGGUGCGUAGGUGGAGUGACAAGUCAGGUGUGAAAGUGUGCGGCUCAACCGUAGAAGUGCAGUUGAAACUGGUAGUCUUGAGUACGGGAGAGGUAGGCGGAAUUCGUGGUGUAGCGGUGAAAUGCGUAGAUAUCACGAAGAACUCCGAUUGCGAAGGCAGCUUACUGGACCGCAACUGACGCUGAGGCUCGAAAGUGUGGGUAUCGAACAGGAUUAGAUACCCGUGUAGUC